rnacentral:lncRNA from 1 species
CUCGACAUAGACAAGGCGAAUUUUCUCCUUUCCUCUCUUUCACUAUUUUAAAGAUUCACGAUCUCUUGCUUUAUACAUCCAUGAUUCAAUACUUCGUCUGAGACUUGAUUUCUUUUAUCUAAUGAGGCUUCAUAAGUCUCAGUCUACCAGAAAAAAAGAUAUCAUCAUCAAAGAGAUUGCUUGAUCAAAGAUCUUCACUGACUCCACCAAAUAUCACUAGACAUUAGGUGUUGUCCUCCAUAGAUAUGAUUUGUCAUCUUGAUUAGCAAUCAUCACAACUUGAUCAUCACAUCAGAUGAAGACUUCACCUCAUAGUUUUGUCAUUGUCAGAGAGAUUGAUUGAUCAUAGAUCUUCGCUAACUUCAUUAAAUGCCGCUUAACAUUAGGCACUGUCCUCCAUAGAUAGGUCAAUAAAUUGUUGCAAUUAUCAUACCUACAAUCAUAUAAAUCCAAAUUCUCCCCAUUUUUUUAUGAUGACAAUGAAUCUCUUAGGGAGGUGGACGAACAAGAGGACAAAGGUGAUACAUUAGAGUGUUUAAACUCCCUCUAACAAAUAUAGAGAGUGUGCCCUACUCUCCAUAAAAGUAUAUGUCUCCCUUUUUGACAUAUCAUAAAUAAGAGAAAAACUCCUCAACCAUAAAUUCUUCAUAAAUGAAAAAAGAUCUCCUCCAACCAAGAUCCCAAACUACCCUACCCUCUUCACACCUACCCAACUCACUCACCUUACCAUCUUACCUUUGGGAUAUAGUGAAUAACCGAUGAAACCUAAAAAUCAAGGGAGCAUUUCCUACCCAAAGAUCAUGCCAUAAAGAGGUAGAAAGGCCAUACCCCACCUUCCUCACUAGACCUUUUUCAAAACAAUUAAGGGGGUCUUAUUUCUUAGACCCAAGGAGGGAAACACCUUCCCAUCAGGUAGAAAUUAAAUUGUUCCUUAGGAGGUGACCCCCAUUCAGGGAAGAGACUCUGGGAAGGCCAUACUUAUAAGCCAGAAUGUCAACCCAUAAACCAGAGACCCCAGACAAAAGAUGCAAUCUCCAUUUAGCCAGCAAAGCUAAAUUAUUCAACUGAAGAUCUCUAACAACAAGACCUCCAUCCUUUUUAGGCCUACACAUACAGAUCACCUGACCCAUGAUAUUUUGGACUCCCUUUUCACCCAUCCUCACAAAAAUCUCCUAUGAAUCCUAACAAUCUUCUUCCAAACUUUGACAGGAAACUUAAGGAAGGAAAGAAAUAACACAAGGAUAAAAUUAAGAACCUAAUUAAGGAGAGUGACUCUACCCCAAAGGCUGACAUACAUAUGAUUCUAGGAGUGGAGUCUUUUCUGAAUUAAGUUAACUAGGAGUUCCCAAGUAUACGCUGAUUUAGGAUUAGCACCAACCAGUAAACCUAGAUACUUAAAGGGAAUGGACUCAAUCUUGCAAUGGAGGAAGUUCACAUCCAAAUCAAGAAAAUAAGGUUGACCAUUCACCCCAAUCAAGCUUAUUUUAUGAAAAUUAACCUCAAUACUAGAAACCAACUCAAAAUCUCUUAAACAACUUUUGUAGCCCACGGAUUCUCAAUAGAGGGUUCCCAUAUAAUUAGAGUAUCAUCAACAUACUGAAGAUGCAGGCUAACUAAAUUAUAGGAAAUGGAGGCUUCUCAUGACUUUAUUAAAUCUCUUAUUAAGCAUGCAAUAUUCUUAAGAAUUACAUUCAACCUUGUCUUUAUAAUCUUCAAAACUUUCAAAAAUAUUUUGAGGAUUGUUAGCACCAUAACAAAUCUCUGGUUGAUGAAUUGUUC